AGUGAACGCUGGCGGUAGGCCUAACACAUGCAAGUCGAACGAGUCGCGGACGGGUGAGUAAUGUCUGGGACACUGCCUGAUGGAGGGGGAUAACUACUGGACGCGGUAGCUAAUACCGCAUACCCUCGGAUGUGCCCAGAUGGGAUUAGCUAGUAGGUGGGGUAAAGGCUCACCUAGGCAACGAUCCCUAGCUGGUUUGAGAGGAUGACAAGCCACACUGGAAUGGAGCCGCGGUCCAGUCCACUACGGGAGGCAGCGGUGGGGAAUGUUACACUAGGGGCGCGAGGCUAACGCAGCCAUGCCGCGUGGAGGAAGAAGGGCUGCGGGUUGUAAAGGACUUUCAGCGGUGAGGCGUUACCCUAAGAAGAAGCACCGGCUAACUCCGUGCCAGCAGCCGCGGUAAUAC
rnacentral:rRNA from 1 species